CUGUUUUUUUGUUUGGUUUUCAACAUUUUGUAUUGUGUCCCCCAAUAGUAUCUUACUGUUGGGGGGACGUACUUCCUUUUAUUUUCGGGUUUGUCCCGUGUAUGGACAUUAUGGCGAGACAAAGCCUCGGCAAUGGUCUGGAAAAAAAGGCGGUUGAACAAGGGACAGGAGGGAGACGGGAUGGUGAAAGAAGGAAGAGACAAAAAGGAGUUGACUCUCAUCGUCGAAAUGGUUGGAGAGGAGAAGAUAUCGGCAAUGGAGCUGAUGAGAAAUAUUAAAGACAUGUGCGGAGCUGCUGGCGUGCCGUAGCGUCGGUGACAGGUCGUAUGAGAUCACAAGGAGUGUGCCUAGCGGGAAGGAAAAGGUGAUGGAUGGAUUUAAAAUUAGGGAAAGGGGUCCAGCUGGGGCAGGUGACACUUUUGGUGGAAGGAGCGUGGACAGUGGUCACACAUCACCAGGUCACCCCAUCUCCCACACACAAAGCAAUAUUCAUCGCUCUUCUGUUCCUUCUGCACACACACACAGUGACAGAGGGACUCACCAGGGCUUGAGGGUCUGGAUGGCACAGUGAACAGUCACACUGCUCAGAGUG